AGACUAGUAUAGCUGCGAGGUGUUUGAGAUCUUCAAACACAAAUCUGAAAUUCCUGGGAGACCAGAAGAGAAAGAAGACUGGCUUGUCUGUCAGAUGAGGAAACUGAGGUAAACAGGAUUGAGUGACUUGCCCAAGGUCACACAACUUGAAUGCAUCUAAGACCAGAUUUGAACCCAAGUUGAUGAAUCUUCCUGACUCCAGGGAGCCAUUUGUGUACCUCCAUUAUAAAACCACACAGCCCCUAACAGAGGUGGGUACCUGGAACCACUCUAUUAUUUGUAUGAAGCCAGCUUCCUGGUUUCCCAGAACCAGAACAAAGCUGAGCCCUAGGAUGGAGAUGAAGUGGCAUGACUAUGUCCUCCUUGUUUGAGGGACUGCCUCUUCUGAGAUGGAAGUAACCAGCUAACCCACGAGACCAGGAGAUACCUAAAACCAUCCAAGGCUCCAAAGCCUGUGGCAACAGCAGCCAAAGCCUGGGAGGGACCAGCAUAACAGCUGGGUGGCCUGCGUGGCUCACGAGCAGGGGGUUGGUCUGUUAGCUGAGACACUGGCUUCCCAAAAGGAAGCAGCCCAAGUGAGCAAAAGAAUGACUCAUUCAUCACUAAUGCCACACCCAAAACCAAUUUGGUGGGAACUCUUCCAAGAAAGAAAUGGAUUCUCACACCUAUGAGUCACGAGGCACACCUCCAUGUCCGUGUUCUAUACAAAUGCAUCUUUCUAGCUUGGUGCUUUGAGUCUGGGCCCAUUUCUUCUUUAGAGACCUUCUGGGCAUGUGUGUAUAAGAGUGGAUGUGUGUAAAUGUGUGUAAGGGGGAAAUGUGCACCCUAUACACACACCUAGCAUGGGAGGAUUAUUCUCUACUGUUCUUGGGGUCUAGAACUCUAGAGGAGGGCUCUAGAGGAGGACAAUCAGAAUGAUGGGACUUCUCAAGGUCUCAUCUAUGAGUAUUAGCUGGGAAACUUGGGAAAUCUCUCUUGGAGAAGAGAAGUAGAGUGGAUUGGAAUGGAUUGGAUUGGAGUCUACCCAGUGUCGGAUACUUGGGAAUGGAAACAUCUCAUGUAGCUGAGCCUGCAUCCUUGCCCAUUCUAGUGAUAUGUGUGCGCUUUGGUCCCUUGCUGAAGGAACGUGUAUAACCAGAAGUUCUUCAGUGCUCCCUUGCUCCCUAGAGGGGGAGAGAGAAGGUUCCAAAAAGGAUUGGUUACUAAACCAGGAGAACUAUCCUCUCAGUGGACUUAAAAAGGAAAGACUAUCCUCUCUUCCUCCCUUUUGAGCACGUUGAGCAAAUGGGAAGGGCAUCACUCUUCCCUAUUCCUGGCCUGCACCCCAGUUAACCUGGAGAACACAUCCAGGUGGAAAUCCAUGGAUCAGCUCUGCUAAGCCCCUACCAGCUAUGGUGGCUGCUUGUACGUGGUAGAAAGAGACUUUACCGGUCUGGGGGAGCCUGAGAUGGAAUCUCCCAACUCUAGCUACCUCCUCUGCUUUGUUUCUUUCCCUGAACGUAGCUGAUGGGACAGCAACCCUGAGAAAUGGACAAUUGAGUCUCAGCAGCUGCCUCAGCACUUUAAGAGGGCCGGAUGCCCAGCCAGAGGUAAUCUCUACAGCAGUUUCUCAGGGAAGAGGAUGGCCACUUCCAGGAGAAUGCUACAGAAGGAAUACGAAAAGGCGAAGAAGGUCCAAGCUGGGAGAUCUGUAUUUGAACCACAAAGAGAGUAAAGGUCAGAGGACAAGUGAACUGUUUGUUCAGCCAUCUUGGUAUCAGAUCACUGCCCAUUGGGACUAAUGUCAGCUUUGUAUUGGUCCCUGUCUGUUUGGACUGCACAGGCAAAGGCAAAGCCUGUGUGGCUGUACGGUUCACCGUGGCCAGUGAGACCACCUUCCAAAUCCAUGCUAGGGAGUCCUUGGAAGCUCCCUGCCCUUUGGAAAAAUAACUCUGUUUCUCUUGCAAUAAUCUCCUCCAUGGCUAAGCAGGCUUUGGGUUUUGCAAAGCACUUUUCCAAUAGCUUUGCUCAUUAAAGGUCUUCCCACCCA